rnacentral:rRNA from 1 species
AUUGAACGCUGGCGGCAUGCCUAAUACAUGCAAGUCGAGCGGAUGAAGGGGGCUCUCUCCUGGAUUCAGUGGCGGACGGGCGGGUAAUGCAUAGGAAGCUGCCCGGCCUUUGGGGAUAAGGUCAGGUAAGGGGACCUAAGACAGUACACGAUCAGAGGUUGAAAGUGGGGGAUCAUCGGUGAACACGCUAUCUGAUGAGCCUAGGUCGGAUUAGCUAGUUGGUGGGGUAAAGGCCUACCAAGGCGACGAUCCGUAGCUGGUCUGAGAGGAUGAUCAGUCACACUGGAACUGAGACACGGUCCAGACUCCUACGGGAGGCAGCAGUGGGGAAUAUUGGACAAUGGGCGAAAGCCUGACCCAGCCAUGCCGCGUGUGUGAAGAAGGUCUUCGGAUUGUAAAGCACUUUAAGUUGGGAGGAAGGGCAGUAAGUUAAUACCUUGCUGUUUUGACGUUACCAACAGAAUAAGCCCCGGCUAACUUCGUG